GGCCCCGUAGUUCAACGGAUAGAACGACCCUCUCCUAAGGGGUAAAUGUAGGUUCAAUUCCUAUCGGGGCCACCA
rnacentral:tRNA from 5 species